AGGAAUGCCUUCCAAUAUUCCCUCAAGAAGCUAGGACAAUAACUUAGAAGAAUAGGACCGUUUCUAACACUGGACUGGCCCGAAUAAAAAAAAGAUCUGACACAACACUAUUCAAAUUCUUUCACAAAACAACCCACCCUAACGUAUUUUUAGUCUAAUUUCUACAGAAAAAAGGUAUCUACAACUACAACAUACAUACUAUAAAUAUACAUUUAAUAUGAAUUGCGUGUGAUACUCAUGUAUUUACUAACGGGAUUGAGUCACGAACGUUUGUUUUAUAGCAUACCUAUCAACAUAGAAAUAAAUAAAUUUGAUGUAGUGUAAUUGAUAAGUAAAUAUGAUUAUUUGUAUUAAUAGUCCUGUGUACAUAAACAAUAUUCCUAUGCACAAAUAACAUUGAGAAAGAGCCAGAAAAUGGUGUAUCUCUCUCUUAAUGGCACUGAACCAGAUAAAGCAGAUUGGAUCAUGCUUCAUUGGCUUGCACUCAAUUAACCAUUCAUUUUAUCCACCGGUAGUGCUCAUCACCUAAAUCGUCGUUCUCAUCCAUAGUCGAAAACCAUGUAUGCCAUACAAGGAGCUAUGGCCGUUCGUCGGGAACGUAACAAACGACAUGCUCGACGAAUGUCUCAUAUGCGACGUGGAUCCCAAUCUGGGAGCCUUUAUUCUGUCGUUCUAGAUGAGGAGGAUCAGGAAGAAGAAAUCCCUCCUCCAAAAACCUCCUCCUCUCUAACAGCCUUCCAUAUCGGAGUCGUCUUCAUUCUCCUAGGAUUUAUCAUGAUUUUCUCGAGUCUCAUCGGCACAAAUAAUAUGAUGAAUAAUUACCAAUACGACGACGAAGAAAGGUCCCAACAUAAAAGUGAUUGGUCUAAGCUAUUGGGUGUCGGAGUCACUUUUAUCAUUGUGGGUCUUCUCAUGGUCAUGGUGAAUCGGAUCAUUACGUCACGAGAGGAAGAAGAAUUAGAACAGUACGUCAAGAGACGACUGGCUCGUACUCGGAGUGGGCAUGCUUUAGUGAGGGAUGCAGACCAAGCUCCCUCAUCUCGGAGACUGAGUGCCUAUCCCCAGUCCCUUCAACAACAACAACAACAGCUUAUGAUGCGUCGUGGAAGUACUGCCACUCAUGGGAAAAGUCCACGCGUCUCUGGAAAAGUUGUGAAACCUGAGGGGAGACGCACAAAUGGAUCCAUUAAAAGCUGUAGGAGGGCAUGAACGGAUUGGAAGCAUUUGCGGGUCGCAGCAUCUCCAGCAGCAAAUUCGUCCCUCACAUCGGCUGAGUAUGAAGGAAUCCAAACGUCGCUCACUCUCUCAUCAUCAGUUACCGUCCAAUAACCUUGAAAUAAAUGAGUCUUCAUCCUCUUUCUCCAUUAAAAGAAAGGAACUCAAGGCGCCAAUCAAUUCUGUGUCAGCAGAUGAUAUAGAGUCUAAUAGUCUAACUUCCCAGGCUCUUCCGUCCCAGAGUGUGUCCUAUUGCAAUGAAUUAAAUGAGAAUUGGAGUAUGAGAGAGAAUGAAUCCGAAGGCGAGGAAGAAGACCAGGGUGAGGAAGAGGACCAGGACGAGAAACGGACUGCUCCAGCCUCAGGACGAGAUAAAUUCAAGUUCUCUUAUAGAAAAAAAAGACAUAUAUUAUUGCGUCAUCAUUAGCUGUGCAUACAUGUAUAUCGAAACCCCCUGAACUCUUAUAGACUCCUAACAAGGAAAGCAAUCCCCUACUAAGAUGUACACAUUUCAAAAUUAUUAUUAUCUCCUAAUAUUUCUUAACUAACUCAAUGGUUACUGCUCAAUCUAUGAUGAUAUUCAGAUUGACUUCAAGAGGCGCGUCUUUAGUCAUGAUUGGUGCUAUGCCAGCCGUGGCCGUGAGGCAUGAUCGACGAAAAUUAAAAGACAAGCCAAAACAGCUUUUACUCAAACCCUACUGGUACAAAAACGGAGGAAGGAGUUCUCCCCGGAGCGUGAGUCGACAAUGUAGUCAAGCAGGUACUCCACUACACGAACGGGUCACUGAUGUAGCAGAGUAUGUCACCUAUGGUGACGAAUGUUGCUACGGUAAAACUUCCUUACUCCAUUUCAUUAUAUUCUUUCUUCUGGGAGGCUUGACGCUCCUCAUCAUUGGAGCCGUACAAUUUAAAGGAGAGGCCGGACUCUCUCAGUAUCGCUAUCACUUCCUUCUCCUAGGAGGUAUUGUGAUAGCCUUUGGAACAGCACUCCUAGCAAUUAAACUCGCAUUUUAUCGCAUUCCCACUCUUCAUACAUUUACACCAGGUGAGGACAUUAUUAAAGAUCACAUGGAGAGUCAUCACACUCCAGGACCACCUCAGCCUUCUCCCGCUUCCAACACAAACAGCCGAAAUAACAAUGAGGACUGCAGGGAAUUAGACUUUAUUGAGGCAGAAGACUCCAUCUCUUGUGGUCGGAGAGAGGGGCGCAUCAUUGUAACGUCUGAGUCCGUCCUUAUGACGGAACUAAGAUCUGCAUUCUCGCAUCCAGACCUGAAUUGACAGUAUUUUUUUCUUGCGGGGAAGGUUGGCCGUUCUCUCGAACUUUUAUUGCCUUUUGGAGGGUGUCCUUACUCAUCCUAGCUUAAUAUAUAUUCAUAUAUUUUGUCUUAAUCAAUAUUAAUUUAUCGUCAUAUUUUAAACUACUGUAUAUUUCUUAAUUCUUUUGCUAUUCAUUUAUUCAUCAGUCUGUGAUGCAUAGGUGGAUUAACCCUUGCAUACUUAUUUUACAUUACAUAUUAUGGUCUUGCUCUAACUUUGCUCACACACUUUCUGUAAGGAGUUGAUUGCAGCAAGUAACUUUAAAAUCAUAUUUUAUUCAAAUUGCCAAUUUAUAUUCAUAGUUUCUAUUUACAUCUAUUAAUUAAUCAAUCUAUUAUUAUUUUUAUUUUAUUAAAGCUAUAUCACUACAUAUGUAGUUAUUUAAAAUGAAAUAUGUCAUAUUUUGAAGAAGAAAAAAAGAAGCAAAAUAAAUUUCAAAA
rnacentral:misc_RNA from 1 species